GGCAAGUAUCUCAGUCUUCAUACUGCUGGGAAGCUCUGUAACCACCAGCAAGACCAGAAGUGGGGUGAUCAGCAGUGCAGGAAAGCCCAUUUGGGUGCAGUCCCCGCACCUAGCCCUUUUGGAAGUGCUUCUCCAAAAGGGAAUUGUGCCGGAAAAGUAGGGAUUGAAACCAAACAGCCACAUCCUGCCAUCAGGAUGCUCUUUAUGGCCCCACUGACCAAGAAAUCACAGCUUCUGUACUCAGUGAUGACUGCUUGACUUCAGUUGAGGACAACAAUGAAGUUCUGUAGCCAGGCUGAAGUUCUGAUUGCUGGAUUUGGUCACAAAGAUCAUGCUGUUGGUGACAUCCCUGGGGUCCGAGUUAAGGUUCUCAGAGUAGUCAGUGUAGCUCUCCCUUGGUCCUAUGCAAAGGCAAGAAGGAAAGACCAAGA
rnacentral:lncRNA from 1 species